GCCGCCAGGACUCCGGUUCCUGGUGUUCCCCAGAGCUGCUUCUCUGCCUUCCUCUCAUGUAAGAAUGAGGGCGUCCCGGACCUACCUGGCCCUGCAGUGUGACAGGAUCCAGGCCCAUGCUGCCCUGGGAGCCGGACUGGCCUGUGGGACUCAUCACGCCAUUCCCACCCCACGCUGGGCAAACUGCAGCCGUGUGUUUCACACAGAAUCAUUCAGCGGUCAGUGCUAGAAGCUUAUCACCCAGCCGCGUGCUCCUGGAGCCCCAGGGCUGCCCUGGUCAAGAGGGAGGGAUGCCGGCUGCCUCACCGAAGUUCACCGGUUUCCCGCCAAGUCAUGUGCUUACGGAGCUGCGACAUCCAAGCUGGAGCACCAGUUUUUUAAGAAUAAACGAAUCGUCUCUGGAAAGCUUGAAGAUGUCCUUCCACUACUCCCUUUCCCAAAUCCGACCCUCUGCCUGUGAUGGAGGAAUCACAGAAUGUCACCCUCACGCGUUGUCCUCUCUGCCAGAACCGUGAGAUGGGCGUGUUUGAGGUUUGAUGUGGAGUGCUUCAUGUGUGUCAGAACAUGUGCAGUGCUUUUCCACGAAGUCAUCGUAAUUACAUGGCCAUGGUGCUAAGAAGGAAGUAGACCCUGAAGGGAAUUAUUAUUAUUAUUAUUAUUAUUUAAUUUUUUUUAAGAUCAGCCUGGGUCAGGUGGUUUUGGGAAAGCGAUCACAGAGCUCGGCGUGUUUUCCUCAUAGCUUACCCCAGGUAUGCAGUGGCAUGAAGUGCUCUUGGUCAGCUUCCUCCACUGUUUUUUCUCGUUUACCAUCUGAGAAUCUGUAGAUGGAAGGAGGUGACUAUACACAACACACACUUGAAGGCUGGGAAGCAACGUUCUGUAUCCUGGGUAGGACACAAGUGGCUUGGAAUUCUUUUGAAUUAACUUGUGGAUGUUUACCUUAUGCUUUGAGCUGAAUCCAGUUUUACUUUAUUUACUUUUCUGCUCCAGUCAUUCUAGCCAUGGCCUCUGGAGCUUUGCCCACUGACUCCUGUAUUCGCUGGACAUCACCCAUCAUUGGGUUUUGUUUUUCACACUUUAUUCCCAUCUGGUACUUCAGUGUGCCCCAGACUUGUCUUCUCUGUUUCUUGUCCCAGUCUGAGAAUCAGUUCUCCAAGGAGUCCUGGUUCCUUACACUGAGUGUUAGUGAUAGAAACAGGGACCUGAGCGCUAGGUGUGCUCUUCACUGUGAGGUCUCAUUGCCUCACUGCUUCUAGACCCUCUUAGCUCACACAGUCGGAUUGCUUUUUUUCAGCUAGGAAAAUCAUCUGUCUUCUCAUUUCUGUUCAUCACUGGUUGGUGUUCCAUGUUCUCUCCAGAUCAGUUUAUCCACUCACCAUUUGUUCAUUAAAAGAUAUGCUGGUUCCUUCCAGUUGGGCAAUACUAAAGCUUCUACAGUCUCCACGUGCAGACUUUCUUCAGGCACAAGUUUUUGGAUCACUAGGGUGAUGGGAGUGUAAGAAAUGGCUGCGCUGA
rnacentral:lncRNA from 1 species